rnacentral:rRNA from 1 species
GCGAGUCGAAUGUAGCAAUACAUGGCGUACUGCUCAGUAACACGUGGACAACCUACCCUUAGGACGGGGAUAAACCCGGGAAACUGGGUAUAAUACCCGAUAGUCCUCGGCUGCUGGAAUGCACCGAGUACUAAAAGCUCCGGCGCCUAAGGAUGGGUCUGCGGCCUAUCAGGUAGUAGUGGGUGUAGCGUACCUACUAGCCUACGACGGGUACGGGUUGUGAGAGCAAGAGCCCGGAGAUGGAUUCUGAGACACGAAUCCAGGCCCUACGGGGUGCAGCAGGCGCGAAAACUUUACAAUGCUGGCAACAGCGAUAAGGGGACCUCGAGUGCCAGGUUACAAAUCUGGCUGUCGUGAUGCCUAAAAAGCAUUGCAUAGCAAGGGCCGGGCAAGACCGGUGCCAGCCGCCGCGGUAACACCGGCGGCUCGAGUGGUAACCGUAUUAUUGGGUCUAAAGGGUCUGUAGCCGGCCGGAUAAGUCUCUUGGGAAAUCUGGCAGCUUAACUGUCAGGCUUUCAGGAGAUACUGU